rnacentral:lncRNA from 1 species
GGUGCAAAAUAAUUUUCAUUCAAUUUACUUUUAUCCACAUCAUGCAGCAAUGAGCAUUUCGCCAAAUAAAUUUACAGGCAAGUGUAAAAGUUAUACAAAUACAAACACGAACAUACAAAAAAAAUUAAAAAGAAAAGCUUCAGAUUGUACAAAAGAUUGAAAGGAAAACUUCAGAUAUCAUGUAGACCUAAUAAAAAAUAAAAAAAAUGAAAAAUUACAUUUCUUCUCGUUGGAUGCUCAUCACAAGGGAAAUGCAGAUGCCAAGGCACACAAGCUGCAACCUAAAUCAAAAAACAAGAAGCAAGUGCCGCCGCUUUCUUCAUCUUCCUCCCUGGAUCCAAAGCCUUUUCCACGAAUCCGACAAGGACACGAUGAUGUCGGGCAGAUUCACCUCCAGAUCUGCAUGGUGGGAGAGGGGAGAGAGAGACUGGGGAAGCAACUUACCUCAAACCUUGCCCGCACCGGCCGCUCCUCGCCGGGUCCGAGCUUAUCGUCACCUGGAAGGGCACCCUCCACCAUGGAUCCCGCCGGGAGGGUUGGGGAAGUGGCAUGGACCAGAUCCGGCCUUGCGUUGUACCAUGGGAAGAGAGCUGGAGUAGGAGAUGGUGGGGUCUCAUGCGUCGCACGCCGGCAUCCCCCGGGCGCCACCAUCGCCGGCCGCGCAGCUCGUCCCCUCGGCUUCCUCCUCUGGCAUCACCUCAUGACCGCGUGAGAGAAAGGAGAGAGAAAGUGAAAGGAUGGAUGAAGGAGGAGAGAGAAC